rnacentral:rRNA from 1 species
AACGUAGGGAAACUUACGCUAAUACCGCAUACGACCUACGGGUGAAAGCAGGGGACCUUCGGGCCUUGCGCGAUUGAAUGAGCCGAUGUCGGAUUAGCUAGUUGGCGGGGUAAAGGCCCACCAAGGCGACGAUCCGUAGCUGGUCUGAGAGGAUGAUCAGCCACACUGGAACUGAGACACGGUCCAGACUCCUACGGGAGGCAGCAGUGGGGAAUAUUGGACAAUGGGCGCAAGCCUGAUCCAGCCAUACCGCGUGGGUGAAGAAGGCCUUCGGGUUGUAAAGCCCUUUUGUUGGGAAAGAAAUCCAGCUGGCUAAUACCCGGUUGGGAUGACGGUACCCAAAGAAUAAGCACCGGCUAACUUCGUGCCAGCAGCCGCCGGUAAUACCGAAGGGUGCAAGCGGUUACUCGGGAAUUACUGGG